UCUUAGAAGCCCUCACCUCCAAUUCCAUUGACGGGGAUCAGUGGCUGAUGUGAAAGAAUAGUCAAAAGGGAGUAGUUUGGUGAUUCUGAGCGGACAUGUCCAAGUAACGGAAGAGUCUGGUUGUAAUAGUGAACAUGAAGAGGGCUUCACAGACCAGAAUGAACUUCAACUCCCAGAGUGCUUCACCAAGAACCAGUAGUCCAACUGCAGUGGAGGAGGAGAGCAGGCUGCUUCAGAGAGUAAGAUUAAAGAUGAAGACAACAUCCAGCAGUCAGAUGGGGGGUUGCUGAAAUACACUGAUGCUGACCAAGAACAUGGCCAUGUUGAAUCUCCUCAUAGAGACACAUCCCAGAAUAAUAGCCAGACCCAAAACAUCAGGCAACAGAAUAAAUUGAAUGCCACAACAUUUCCAGGCCUCAAUGAGGAUGUGGACUUUUCUCCAUUUUUGUAAUCUCGUAGUUUGCUCUGUAUGAACUGAAGCAUUGGACUGUGUGAUGUAAAAAAAUGGCGGAUUGAGAAAAAGAAAAAAACUGCUUUUAAUUGUUAUUUGUUUUGGUUUGGGGAGACACUUUGAUAAAUGUUUGUUGAUAUUUAUCUUGUGUGGGCUGGGGGGGUGGGGUUUUUUGUGUCAUGUGACCUAGCUCUACCUACCUACCUGAUUAAUACCUUUCACCUGCAAUUGUUUGGCAUGCCCUGAUGAAGACAUUGUGUCGAAACGCGUAGGCUUGUAGCCAGAGUUUAAUAAAGGCUUUUUAACUUUA